rfam:Subdoligranulum sp. CAG:314 genomic scaffold, scf19
UUUAUACAAUCGGGGUGCUUUUAACGGCUGAGAUUAUACCCGUCGAACCUGUAAGGUAAUACUUGCGUAGGAAAAAUAUUUUUUCGGAUUU